AAAAGGAAACUGCUCAAUAGGAAGCACUAGGUUAUUGACUCUGACAUGGAAGCUGCAGGGCGGUGUCCUGGGGGUCCCAGGGGUUCCUGGCUCCAUCGGAACUGAGGAGGAGGCCUGGAAUCUAUACUGGAAAACACGCCUGAGAGAAGCAGGACCUGAAGGCAGGAGAACCAGCACCACAAGGAUGAUGCCAAGAUCUGCCACCAGCUCAAGCAGUAGCUGAAUGCCCUUUCACCACAGCUGCAGUGGCCUCUGAGUACCUGGUGAAACUGAGCAUGCUCAAGAUGGCUUUCUAAACUCGGAGAUUUCAGAGGAAGGAGAGGACGGAACAUGCUGGCGAGGUGCAGAUAGGCUCCUUCUGUGGCUAAUCGAAGAAAACCUCCCUCUGGUUGCCCAGAGAAGCAGGUGCAGGUGGACGGGCCCACGGGUUCUGAAAAAGGCAAGGCAGGUGUGUGGGUGGGAGCCAGCAGCCAGCCUACCAGGAGGCUGGGGAAGUCUGUGAAUUCAGAAUAAAUACUGUCA